CAUUUUCACAUUCUAUUCAAGCAAUGGACAUUUAAAUUUUCGACUUUAGCUACAAUAAAACUCAAAUCAGGUAAUCGACUUUGCAUACAAACAAACACUAAACUCGUAUAAACUUUUAACGAUCAAAACAAAACAGACACAUUCAUUCACUAGUAACUAAAUAACACUAAACUUCAUUAUAAUGUAUCAUAAAAAAAAAGAACCAAAGAUAUCACACCAUUAAAAUACCAAUUUUUUUUUAAAGUGCCUAAACAAAUGUAAAGCUGCUGCGGCACAGUGGACAGCGGCUUGAAUUUGAAGAUUUGAACCAUUUGUAUAAACAUGAUGCGUGGAAUUUGUGCCUACAUGUUCCACAUCGUUUAUUUGGCAAAGUACGCUCCACAGACAAGACAGAAUAGCAAAUAGCACAUUCUUCAACGCCUUCAAAGUGCAUGGAUAUAUUCUUCUUCAAAACUAGUAACGCAUCAGUGAUAGAGCCAUUUUGCGAUGAUAAGAUACUUUGAGAAGCCAAAAUCCAUGAGCGCCAUUGUCGUUCGUUAACACCGACUCUUUCUAUUCCUUCUACUUGAACAUUUUGUAGGGGAUAUACAGAGGGAAUUUUGAUGGCCAUUUCCAGUUUGUGCUCAUCAACAUUAUAGAUGAAAGAUAUCUCUCUGGUGUUUCUGUUAACUUUCACAUUAACAUCACCAACAGAUUGAAAAUCUUCGGA